UCUGGUAAUGAUGGCAGAGAGGUCACACCCGUUCCCAUACCGAACACGGAAGUUAAGCUCU
rnacentral:rRNA from 1 species